rnacentral:rRNA from 1 species
UACGUAGGACGCAAGCGUUGUCCGGAAUUAUUGGGCGUAAAGAGCUCGUAGGCGGUUUGUCGCGUCUGCUGUGAAAAUCCGAGGCUCAACCUCGGACCUGCAGUGGGUACGGGCAGACUAGAGUGUGGUAGGGGAGACUGGAAUUCCUGGUGUAGCGGUGGAAUGCGCAGAUAUCAGGAGGAACACCAAUGGCGAAGGCAGGUCUCUGGGCCACAACUGACGCUGAGGAGCGAAAGCGUGGGGAGCGAACAGG